rnacentral:rRNA from 1 species
AUUGAACGCUGGCGGCAUACUUUACACAUGCAAGUCGAACGGUAACAGGCCGCAAGGUGCUGACGAGUGGCGAACGGGUGAGUAAUGCAUCGGAACGUGCCCAGUCGUGGGGGAUAACGCAGCGAAAGCUGUGCUAAUACCGCAUACGAUCUAUGGAUGAAAGCGGGGGACCGUAAGGCCUCCCGCGAUUGGAGCGGCCGAUGUCAGAUUAGGUAGUUGGUGGGGUAAAGGCCUACCAAGCCGACGAUCUGUAGCUGGUCUGAGAGGACGACCAGCCACACUGGGACUGAGACACGGCCCAGACUCCUACGGGAGGCAGCAGUGGGGAAUUUUGGACAAUGGGCGCAAGCCUGAUCCAGCAAUGCCGCGUGCAGGAAGAAGGCCUUCGGGUUGUAAACUGCUUUUGUACGGAACGAAACGGUCUGGGUUAAUACCCUGGGCUAAUGCCGGUACCGUAAGAAUAAGCACCGGCUAACUACGUGCCAGCAGCCGCCGUAAAAC